UAUGUUAAAGAACAUAAUAACAAAUUAUCAGGAAGCGUAUGUAUCUUUUUCAUUUAUCCUGUGUUUUAUGGCCUUGUUCAUCACCUCCUUGUACCAGCUCACCACACUUUCCCGGAGGAGCUGUAGACCAAAUUCCUUAGCAUCCAGUGGCUCUGAGCAAAUGCAGAACAUGGUAGCAGGAUGCAAGAAGUAAUGAGACAGACCGAAGGCACACACCAGGGGGACGAUUUGGGAGUGAAGAAAGGUUUUUUUUGUUUUGUUUCUUAAGGGAUGGGGAAAAACCCCCUUUGGACAGUGGGAGAGAUAAAAGUUGCAGUUGGAGGUUUUUUAACACACAGAGAACGGGUUAAUAUUGUGCUAAAAAAUACGUUUAUGUAUUAAGUUGCUGGAAUAAUGUGAAGGGUAGGCACCCAGAAUGAAGACACGGAACCUAAUGUGCUCAAAUAUCCUCUCUUGUUGUUUGAAAAGUUGUCUGGAGAGCAGCGUAAAGCCUCUUCUUCCUCGUGGGCCUGAUGCGUCUGCUGCCGUGCUGUCCUCAGCAGCGCCGUGGGGUGGUGACUAAUUGCCCCCGUAAAUCACUGAGCACCACUGUGCUACUCCGUUUAUUUUUCUGACAGUAAUUUAGUGCUUGCUCUUUCCCACACUUGUCAUUCCGUGUUUUUCCUCACAUUAGAAGCCUCAAAUAAACGGGCGAUGCCGCCUGCAGGGGGAGGAGAGCGGGUGGAGGAUACUCACGCUGGGCCCGGCCGCGCGGAGACUUCGCUGGGAGGACGCGCGGGCUCGCGCCGGGGAGUGGAGCCCCAGCCCGCAG